UCCCGAUUUUGUUUCAAUGCACAAGUUGCCUAUAAAUUUAUUGAUAUAAAAAAAAUAUUAUUGGAGAUUAGGGGUAAAUUAACUAUGAUUAGAUUAUUAAGUGGGAUUAAAAUUUAAUCACUUCAUUAAUUAAUUAAGCCUAAGGGGACAUGUGGGCCCCACCCGAAUAAAAAAAAUAAAAAACAAUAAAGGAAUCAAAAUCUGAAAAUUAACAAAAACAAGUGCAAAGAUGACUCAACAUAAGGGGAGUACGUGUAGCAUGAUGGGAAACCAUAUAUAAAAUAAAGCAUAGUGCAAAUGACACUUUCCAACUUCAUUUGUUGAAAAUCAGCUUUCAAGAACAACAAGAAGACAUCUAUGGCUGCUCACGGCCAGAUUGAGGUUUAACAAAAAAAAAAAAAAAAAAAAACAGUUUGUAGCUUAAUAAAAUUCUAAGGAGAAGACAAGGAGAUAGAGGUGGAAAAGCAAGAACAAGUAUAAGAAUUUAAGACACAAAUUGGAGCCAAGUAUUCAAGGCGAAAAGAGCGACGAGGCAAAAAGGAUUCACGGAUAGUCGUCGACAGGUACAAACGCUCGUUUUGGAGAUCCGUCAGCUUAGGGUACCUAUUCAGCUAUUUUGGACUGCUCCUUUGUUCUGGAGCCUAGCCUGUGGUAUAACUCCCUUUUAUUGUAUAUAUAAGUGUUUAUUCGGGGUACGGCGGGGCCCUGUCCCGUCAUAUGAUAUUGUCGUUACUCUUAGAGGUCUGUGGACAUCUUUGUGGGUCUGUAUAUAGUUGUUGUUGCGUUGUAUGACUAUGACUUAUGUUUGGGGCGUACCCAUUCGUAAUGGCAGCCUUGUCGGCUUGCGUAUCUAUGCAUAUGUUUUGGGAUGUUGUGCGUAGU